UACGAAGGGGGCUAGCGUUGCUCGGAAUCACUGGGCGUAAAGCGCACGUAGGCGGAUUGCUAAGUCAGGGGUGAAAUCCUGGAGCUCAACUCCAGAACUGCCUUUGAUACUGGCGAUCUUGAGUCCGGGAGAGGUGAGUGGAACUGCGAGUGUAGAGGUGAAAUUCGUAGAUAUUCGCAAGAACACCAGUGGCGAAGGCGGCUCACUGGCCCGGUACUGACGCUGAGGUGCGAAAGCGUGGGGAGCAACAGGAUUAAGAUACCCCGGUAGUCCAGCA
rnacentral:rRNA from 1 species